GAUUAAGUUAUUAAGGGCGCACGGUGGAUGCCUUGGCACUAGAAGCCGAUGAAGGACGUUACUAACGACGAUAUGCUUUGGGGAGCUGUAAGUAAGCUUUGAUCCAGAGAUUUCCGAAUGGGGAAACCCAGCAUGAGUUAUGUCAUGUUAUCGAUAUGUGAAUACAUAGCAUAUCAGAAGGCACACCCGGAGAACUGAAACAUCUUAGUACCCGGAGGAAGAGAAAGAAAAUUCGAUUCCCUUAGUAGCGGCGAGCGAAACGGGAAGAGCCCAAACCAACAAGCUUGCUUGUUGGGGUUGUAGGACACUCUAUACGGAGUUACAAAGGACGACAUUAGACGAAUCAUCUGGAAAGAUGAAUCAAAGAAGGUAAUAAUCCUGUAGUCGAAAAUGUUGUCUCUCUUGAGUGGAUCCUGAGUACGACGGAGCACGUGAAAUUCCGUCGGAAUCUGGGAGGACCAUCUCCUAAGGCUAAAUACUCUCUAGUGACCGAUAGUGAACCAGUACCGUGAGGGAAAGGUGAAAAGCACCCCGGAAGGGGAGUGAAAUAGAACCUGAAACCGUGUGCUUACAAGUAGUCAGAGCCCGUUAAUGGGUGAUGGCGUGCCUUUUGUAGAAUGAACCGGCGAGUUACGAUUUGAUGCAAGGUUAAGCAGUAAAUGUGGAGCCGUAGCGAAAGCGAGUCUGAAUAGGGCGUUUAGUAUUUGGUCGUAGACCCGAAACCAGGUGAUCUACCCUUGGUCAGGUUGAAGUUCAGGUAACACUGAAUGGAGGACCGAACCGACUUACGUUGAAAAGUGAGCGGAUGAACUGAGGGUAGCGGAGAAAUUCCAAUCGAACCUGGAGAUAGCUGGUUCUCUCCGAAAUAGCUUUAGGGCUAGCCUCAAGUGAUGAUUAUUGGAGGUAGAGCACUGUUUGGACGAGGGGCCCCUCUCGGGUUACCGAAUUCAGACAAACUCCGAAUGCCAAUUAAUUUAACUUGGGAGUCAGAACAUGGGUGAUAAGGUCCGUGUUCGAAAGGGAAACAGCCCAGACCACCAGCUAAGGUCCCAAAAUAUAUGUUAAGUGGAAAAGGAUGUGGCGUUGCCCAGACAACUAGGAUGUUGGCUUAGAAGCAGCUAUCAUUUAAAGAGUGCGUAAUAGCUCACUAGUCGAGUGACACUGCGCCGAAAAUGUACCGGGGCUAAACAUAUUACCGAAGCUGUGGAUUGUCCUUUGGACAAUGGUAGGAGAGCGUUCUAAGGGCGUUGAAGCAUGAUCGUAAGGACAUGUGGAGCGCUUAGAAGUGAGAAUGCCGGUGUGAGUAGCGAAAGACGGGUGAGAAUCCCGUCCACCGAUUGACUAAGGUUUCCAGAGGAAGGCUCGUCCGCUCUGGGUUAGUCGGGUCCUAAGCUGAGGCCGACAGGCGUAGGCGAUGGAUAACAGGUUGAUAUUCCUGUACCACCUAUAAUCGUUUUAAUCGAUGGGGGGACGCAGUAGGAUAGGCGAAGCGUGCGAUUGGAUUGCACGUCUAAGCAGUAAGGCUGAGUAUUAGGCAAAUCCGGUACUCGUUAAGGCUGAGCUGUGAUGGGGAGAAGACAUUG
rnacentral:rRNA from 1 species